AAGAAGACGAGGAUCAAGAGGAGUAUCAGACGGACUGUUUUUACAGAGAGAAGACCAAUUGGUGCAAGGUUUUCAGCAGGAAUCUGAGAAGGUAGCUUGUGAGUCUUUGAUUGGAACAGCAAGGAACACCUUGUUCAGUAGAAUCAAACGCUUCGUGACCGUUAACUCACGCCCAAGAGGUAGAGAAAUCUACAAUUUAGGUGGUACCGCGUAUUUGCGUCCUAAAA
rnacentral:ncRNA from 1 species